rnacentral:lncRNA from 1 species
AUGAGGAUUCCAAUGCUGUGACUCCAGCUCCAGCCUUGGCUUAUGUUGUGAGUUUACCCUAAUCCCUGAAGUCAGGUCUUUUAGAAUUGAGCAUGUGCAAAUUGCAGACACCUUGCAGGGCUAAUUGGGCAUACAAAUGGGAUCACAGCUAACCAGAGACAUCUUGGAGCUGGCUGGCUUCAUGCACAAAAAUAUGGAGUGUAUUUCUUUGUCCUGAAGGGAAGACCACACAGGCUUUAACCAAGUGAAAACAGCUGUGUACAGUCUCUGUCCUCCUGUAGGAAUGAUGUGAAUGGUGAGCACUCUUCUUUGCUUGUGAAAUUCAGUAUACCAGAAGGGCUGUAUGAUGCCUGCUUCCUACUUAAUUCCCAUUUAGAUUGUAAGUGUCGGGAGUUUUGCGUUGCACAGGCUCUGUACUCCUGCAGAGGAUAAUAUACCUGUGUGUAUCCAAGGCUUUUCUCUCAGGGAGGAAGAAACACUGGGGAGAACAGCUGAUUUGUCCUUGUCUUCACAAAGCAAACUUUUGGACCCCUUCACCCCAAAUUAAAUACAAUUGUUUAAAAUUUGUUGUAUUGGGGUGAUAGACAAACAUAUAUUUUUUAAUACCAAAAAUUGGCAAUAUAAGAGAUCCCAACUCAAAAUGCUAUCCAAAUUAAGUAACCCUACAGUUAGUUUCAGUUAGUUUUAAUGCCAGAAACCGUCCAGUCUAAAUGGUGUGAAUAAAAUCUGAACCCUCCUUCUCCCUCUAGUAUUC